rnacentral:rRNA from 1 species
UACGAAGGGGGCUAGCGUUGCUCGGAAUCACUGGGCGUAAAGGGUGCGUAGGCGGGUCUUUAAGUCAGGGGUGAAAUCCUGGAGCUCAACUCCAGAACUGCCUUUGAUACUGAGGAUCUUGAGUUCGGGAGAGGUGAGUGGAACUGCGAGUGUAGAGGUGAAAUUCGUAGAUAUUGGGAAGAACACCAGUGGCGAAGGCGGCUCACUGGCCCGUAACUGACGCUGAGGUGCGAAAGCGUGGGGAGCAAACAGG